GUGCUCACUGCAGCAGCACUUAUGCUAAAAUUGGAAAGAUAUAGAGAUCAGCAUGGCCCCUGUGCAAACUCAUGAAGUAUUCCAUGUUUUA
rnacentral:snRNA from 1 species